UACGGAGGGAGCGAGCGUUGUUCGGAAUCACUGGGCGUAAAGGGCGCGUAGGCGGCCGAGUAAGUCGUGUGUGAAAGACCGGGGCUCAACUCCGUGUACUGCAUGCGAUACUGCCCGGCUAGAGAAAGGUAGAGGCGAGUGGAAUUCCCGGUGUAGCGGUGGAAUGCGUAGAUAUCGGGAAGAACACCUGUGGCGAAGGCGGCUCGCUGGGCCUUUUCUGACGCUGAAGUGCGAAAGCGUGGGGAGCAAACAGG
rnacentral:misc_RNA from 1 species